rnacentral:rRNA from 1 species
GACAGAGGGUGCAAACGUUGUUCGGAAUUACUGGGCGUAAAGCGAGUGUAGGCGGUGUGGUAAGUCGGAUGUGAAAGCCCCGGGCUCAACCCGGGAAGUGCAUUCGAUACUGCCACGCUAGAGUAUCGGAGAGGUUGGUGGAAUUCUCGGGUGUAGAGGUGAAAUUCGUAGAUAUCGAGAGGAACACCGGUGGCGAAGGCGGCCAACUGGACGAAUACUGACGCUGAGACUCGAAAGCGUGGGGAGCAAACAGG